rnacentral:rRNA from 1 species
UACGUAGGUGGCAAGCGUUGUCCGGAUUUACUGGGCGUAAAGAGCGCGCAGGCGGUCGUUCAAGUCGCGUGUGAAAGCCCCCGGCUCAACUGGGGAGGGUCACGCGAUACUGAUCGACUCGAAGGCAGGAGAGGGUAGUGGAAUUCCCGGUGUAGUGGUGAAAUGCGUAGAUAUCGGGAGGAACACCAGUGGCGAAGGCGGCCAUCUGGGACAACACUGACGCUGAAGCACGAAAGCGUGGGGAGCAAACAGG